AUUCCUUGCUACACCACAGUGUAACACAACAGAGCCUAAAUGUGGUGGGCAGUACAGAUACUACAGCUUAGAAAAGGGGAUCUGCCGUUAUUUAAGUCAGAUGGAGAGUAAUGAUGUGCACCUCAGUGUAAACAUUGAUGGCAUCCCACUUUUUAAAAGUAGUGGUGUCCAAUUCUGGCCAAUACUGGUGAAGUGUGGCCAUUUUGAUCCAUUUAUUGUAGCUAUGUUUAGUGGACAACAUAAGCCAAGUCCGCUUGAGGAGUAUCUUAAAGACUUUGUGACCGAGUACAAACAUCUCAAAGAAAAUUCUAUAGUUUAUAAAGGCCAGACUUACACUGUCAAUAUUGAUGCUCUGAUCUGUGAUGCACCAGCAAGGGCAUAUCUAAAAUGUAUUAAGGGUCAUACUUCCUAUGAGAGUUGUGAGAGAUGUUUGAUCAGAGGUGCUCGUGUUGAGAGAAGAAUAGUUUUCAGUGAACAGGAAUGCACUUCUCGAACAGAUGAUGGUUUCUCCAGAGUAGAGUACAGGAACCACCAAACUGAUGUCAGCCCCUUCAUUGCUGCAGGAAUUCCUUGUGUUAGCUCAUUUGUGUUAGAUUAUAUGCAUAUGGUCUGCUUGGGAGUAGUUAGACGCCUGUUAAUUUACUUGACUCGUGGCCCAAAAAUCUGUCGUUUAUCUGUGAAGCAAAAGGAUGCAGUUUCUCAAAAACUAAUUGCACUGAGAGGGAAGAUGCCGAGUGAGUUUGCUAGGCAACCGCGGGGUUUACGUGAACUAGAUAGGUGGAAAGCCACUGAACUACGGCAGUUUUUGCUAUACACAGGACCUGUGGCAUUGAAAACGGUGUUGUCCCCUGAAAGAUACAAACAUUUCUUGUCCUUGACAGUAGCCAUGUCAAUAAUGCUGGAGUCAGAUGACAGGAUUCGAAAUGCCUAUCUCCAAUAUUCUCAUGAACUAAUCAAACACUUUGUCAUGCGCUGUGCUGACCUGUAUGGCAAGACCUUUCCUGUAUACAAUGUACAUGGAUUAAUUCAUCUCCAUGAAGAUGCCAGCCACUUCAACUGUUCCUUAAAUGACAUUUCCUGUUUUCCAUUUGAAAACUACCUGCAACAAAUCAAGAAACACGUGAGGAGCGGGAGAAGUCCCCUGGAACAAGUUACCAGGCGUCUGUCAGAAAUUGAACAUUCAGAAGUGAACAAGAGCAAAAUGCAGUCUAAAGUGUUUGCUUCUGUUAAAGAAAGGGACAGUUGUUUUCUCUUGAGAGACGACAGAUUUGCUUUUGUUCGACAGAAAAAUGCUGACGGUACCUUUGCUUGUGAAAUCCUGCACCAGCGUCACACUUCACCAUUAUUUCACCAACCAUGUAGCUCUGGACUUCUGAAUAUAGUCUGCAUAGGAAAUGGUCAGGUCAGGAUGAAAAAUGGAUUACUGCAUGAAAGGGAUCUGUUCCGCAAGGUGGCCUGCCUCCCACAAGAAACUGGUGGUUCUGUCCUCAUACCCCUUCGCCAUGGUCUGGAACACUAAUAUUAAAGGUUGAAUUAUUUUAUUCUUUUAGCUAUAUCCCAGCAGGGGUUAUCCCAGCUGAUCACCUGUUUCCAUCUGUUUGUUUUCUGCAUCUACCUCAGUGACUCCUGCC
ensembl:lncRNA